rnacentral:rRNA from 1 species
GGCAGCAGUGAGGAGUAUUGCACAAUCAACGAAAGUUGGAUGCAGCAACGCCGCGUGGACGAUGAAGGCCUUCGGGUUGUAAAGUCCUUUUAAGAGGGAAGAGAGAGGACGGUACCUCUUGAAUAAGUCUCGGCUAACUACGUGCCAGCAGCCGCGGUAACACGUAGGAGGCAAGCGUUAUCCGGACUCAUUGGGCGUAAAGCGCGCGCAGGUGGCUUUGUAAGUCGGAUGUGAAAGCCCCGGACUUAAUCCGGGGAGGUCGUUCGAUACUGCGAGGCUUGAGAGCGGGAGAGGGAAGUGGAAUUCCGGGUGUAGUGGUGAAAUUCGUAGAUAUUCGGAGGAACACCAGUGGCGAAGGCGGCUCACUGGCUCGAUACUGACGCUGAGGUGCGAAAGUGUGGGGAGCAAACAGGAUUAGAUACCCUGGUAGUCCACACCGUAAACGAUGAAUGCCAGUCGUCGGGUUGCAUGCAAUUCGGUGACACACCUAACGGAUUAAGCAUUCCGCCUGGGGAGUACGGUCGCAAGAUUAAAACUCAAAUGAAUUGACGG